rnacentral:pre_miRNA from 1 species
UUAGUGAAAGUUUUUACGGAGUUGGAAUGUUUGUCUACGUUUGCCGACAGGGGCGCUGUUGCAACUGCAUACAAAUUUGAGUUA